UCCAUUGUGUGAUUUUUAAAACAGCGUUCCUCCACUGACCGCCUUUCCUCAUUCUUUAUUUCCAGCGUCUUCACCAUUUUGUAUCUAUUUUUUUUUUUUUGAAGGGGCCUUGGAGCCAGAGCUGGCCUGCCGCAUUUUAUUUUUAUUGUCCUCAUAAAAUACUGGGCCUGUGAACUCCGCCUGGGGAGCCUGCGGCAUCUGCUGCAGGGCCCACCGAGCUGCAUUUCUGGGUUCUCAUUUCACUCUUGUUCUCUGUAGUCCAGACGAGCGACCCCGCCAGGGUGGUUGGGGAGCUCACCGUCCUAGCAAGGCUGAGCUGCCUUCUGGCUGUUUUGGUCCCCGGAACCCAGCGGGGGCUCUGGACCUGGGCCUUUGAGCAGCUCCCCGAUGGCAGCGUUUCUCGGUUUCCCUCAGAGGAGCUGGUCUGGGGGAGUGGCAGGCCUCCAGGCGAAUGGCCUCUGGUCCUCUCUGGGGUUUUGGUCAGUAGGCUGUCUCCGGACUGUUACAGCCCUGCCGGACCCUGCCCUGCCUGGGCCAGGUGACACCAGCCUGGAGGAGGGACCCUCGAGGUUCUUCGCUGUUCCCAUAAUGGAGUCCAGACCCCCAGCCUGGCCGUACUGGUCCCGGGAGCACGCCCACCACCAGGGGGCUUAGCAGUCUACUAGACUUCGGUGGCUCACCACUGGUCGGCCUGCGCUCUGGUUCCUAGCAUGGCCCCUUUUGUCCCACUGUCCCCACUCCGGCUAGAAUGACCUAAAUGCCACAAGUCUGAUCCAGUCACUCCCGGUUAAAAUCCUUUAGUGAUUCCUGUUUCCUUCCAGGCCCUGCCCCAUCCUUCCACCACUCCCUGGUCCAGUCAGCUUGGAGGUAUGACAUUCCCUGUACUUUUCUUUCAUGCCUUUCUGGACCUCUACAGGCUGUGCCUUCUCCACUUCCUCCCCUCCAUCCAGCGAACUCCUACUCAUCCUUCAAAACCCACUCAUCAGGAGCAGAUGCUUCUCAACCUGUUAUGGUAUUGUAAUCAUGUCUGUCCUGGCGCCUGGUCUGCAAGCUUGAGAAGCAGUAUCACUCGGAGCCCUGACACCUGGUUCCAAUCCCAGUUCUGCUACUCCUCAGCUGUAUGAGAGCAGCAUGCUACCUGACCUCCAUGCUUCAGUGUCUUCAUCUGUAAAACGAAGCUUCCUCUCCCAGGUCCAACCCAACAACGUCUCCAAAUGGGGUGUCGGGGUUGAAGAUGGCCUGCAAAACUGCCUGAUCGUUUAGCGUCCCCAUGGCGCUCAACUCCAAA